rnacentral:rRNA from 1 species
GACGAACGCUGGCGGCGUGCUUAACACAUGCAAGUCGAACGGAAAGGCCCUGCUUGCAGGGUACUCGAGUGGCGAACGGGUGAGUAACACGUGGGUGAUCUGCCCUGCACUUCGGGAUAAGCUUGGGAAACUGGGUCUAAUACCGGAUAGGAGCCAUCUUUAGUGUGGUGGUUGGAAAGUUUUUUCGGUGUAGGAUGAGCUCGCGGCCUAUCAGCUUGUUGGUGGGGUAAUGGCCCACCAAGGCGGCGACGGGUAGCCGGCCUGAGAGGGUGUACGGCCACAUUGGGACUGAGAUACGGCCCAGACUCCUACGGGAGGCAGCAGUGGGGAAUAUUGCACAAUGGGCGCAAGCCUGAUGCAGCGACGCCGCGUGGGGGAUGAAGGCCUUCGGGUUGUAAACUCCUUUCGCUAGGGACGAAGCUUUGUUGUGACGGUACCUAGAUAAGAAGCACCGGCUAACUACGUG